AGGAGUGUAGUUCAGUGUUAGAGUGCUUGCCUAGCAUGCAUAAGGCCUGGGUUCUAUCCCCAGCACCCCCC
rfam:Heterocephalus glaber contig41, whole genome shotgun sequence.